CCAUAUCUGAAUUAAUCAGUGUUGGCCGCGUACUAGUUGUCAUAUAUAAAUUUUAGUACUUCUUAUAGUGUGUUGUAGUGUCAUUUUAUAAUUCAUUUAUAAAACAUAUUUAAAAGACUACAUUUUUUCAGAUGACAAUACAGCAGUUUACUCAAGGAAUGGAGACGCAUGGAUUCACUUAUCUCACACGUGGGAAAGUAUCAACAUCCUAUGUUGCAAAUGGACUAGAAGAUGCUGAGAAUAAUACGUGUUAUAUGCAAUAUGGCAGUACGGCAGUUCACUUAAGGAAUUCUGACGCAUGGAUUCACUUAUCAAACACGUGGGAAAGUAUCAACAUCCUAUGUUGCAAAUGGACUAGAAGAUGCUGAGAAUAAUACAUGUUAUAUGCAAUAUGGCACUACGGCAGAUCACACAAGGCAUGCUGAGACAUGGAUUCACAUUUCUCA